UAAAAACUCACCGGAAUUUCCAUAAUAAAAAGACACAACUGUACACAAUUGUUUCACAAAUUUUAGAACUGAAAUGGCACGAAAAACUGAAAUUAUAAAACUCGUCUCUUCAGUUUUAACAAAAAUAAUGUUAAAUUUUUAAACUUGUAAAUAUUUUACACGAUUAAUAUAACUUAACAUACUAAGUUAUAUAUAUUUUUUAUAUUUAAACUUAAGGCUUGUUUAGUUUUGAAAAAUUUACAUACAUACGUGUUUAUAUAUACUCUACUCUAUUGGACCUGAUUGUUGUAAGAUAAACCGCUCAUAGGCCGGGACAAGUGCAAUGUUUGAAUCAAAAGGUAAAACGUUGACACCUUCCCGUCCUGCAAGCAAUUUAUGAUUUGGGUAUUGCAGUUCUGAUAUACUUUUUUCUUUAAUAUACGAGCAUACAUAUAUCAUUUUUGAUAUAGAGUUUCACGAGUGCCCCCAAACAUAAGAAGCGAAUUACAAUAUAAUUAUGUUCGCUCUGAAAAAGAAAAUUAAAAACAGAACAACUCUACUCCCCCGGCUUCUUGGUUUUAGAAGAUCUUUGUGCGGGCGAGAGAACAAUGGAUCGGAGGCCAAGGAUCAGAGAGCUGAAUUCUGCCCAUGAGAGCGAAACUAAAGUACCUUUGGCCUAGCAGGCAAAUACGCCCCCAACAACCCAGCAACAAUAUGAACGAGAGCUCCAAGUGGAGCUGCUCGAAUUCGUGCUCAAGACUUCGGCUGCCCCAUUGAGCAAUUGUAAGGCAGCCGGCCCAGAACGACCAAUAAUAUCGGAGAGCGGAAACGCAAAUAGACGCGCGAUAAAAAAGAAUAAGAGAAUGAAAGAUUGAGCGGGAAGGGGAAAAACAGAACGCCACAUAAAUUUCAAAAAACUAAUAAUUCAUUGAAAAGGCUAGCAAUGCGGAUCAUGUAAUAAUAUUUGCUUAAGCAAACAGCUGACAAGACUUUAACAACGACGCGAAAGCUGGGGUCGGCGUUAUGAGGCAGGCCAACAUGGAGCAUGCAAUAUACAAUUAGUGCUGGUAGCUCUAGCUUGUUUCUAAUAAAAUUAAAUAGCUAAAUCGCAUAAA